rnacentral:rRNA from 1 species
GACAGAGGAUGCAAGCGUUAUCCGGAUUGAUUGGGCGUAAAGCGUUCGCAGGUGGCUUACCAAGUCUUUCGUUAAAUAUCAGAGCCCAACUUUGAACAGGCGUAGGAAACUCGAAAGCUAGAGUACGGUAGAGGCAGUGGGAAUUUCCGGUGUAGCGGUGAAAUGCGUAGAUAUCGGAAGGAACACCAGAGGCGAAGGCGCUCUGCUGGGCCGGGACUGACACUGAGGAACGAAAGCUGGGGGAGCGAAUGGG